rnacentral:tRNA from 1 species
ACAUGUGGCUCAGUGGUAGAGCACUUGCCUAGCAAGUGUGAGGCACUGGGUUCAAUUAUCAGCAUUA